AGAUAACGAACGAGACCCUCAUCUCUAUUUGCAACCUGUCUCUCCGGAGGCGGCGCACUAUAGAGAGACCGCUGGUGUGAAACCAGAGGAAGGCGAGGGCAACGACAGGUCAGUAUGCCCCGAAUGUCCUGGGCUACACGCGCGCUACAAAGGACGGGACAAUGGGAAGCCAGGCCGAGAGGCCGAGCUAACCCGAAACCCGUUCAUAGUUCGGAUUGAGGGCUGUAACUCGCCCUCAUGAAGCUGGAUUCCGUAGUAAUCGUGUUUCAAUAUAGCACGGUGAAUAUGCCCCUGCUCCUU
rnacentral:rRNA from 1 species